GAUGAACGCUGGCGGCGUGCCUAAUACAUGCAAGUCGAGCGAACAGACGAGAAGCUUGCUUCUCUGAUGUUAGCGGCGGACGGGUGAGUAACACGUGGAUAACCUACCUAUAAGACUGGGAUAACUUCGGGAAACCGGAGCUAAUACCGGAUAAUAUAUUGAACCGCAUGGUUCAAUAGUGAAAGACGGUUUUGCUGUCACUUAUAGAUGGAUCCGCGCUGCAUUAGCUAGUUGGUAAGGUAACGGCUUACCAAGGCAACGAUGCGUAGCCGACCUGAGAGGGUGAUCGGCCACACUGGAACUGAGACACGGUCCAGACUCCUACGGGAGGCAGCAGUAGGGAAUCUUCCGCAAUGGGCGAAAGCCUGACGGAGCAACGCCGCGUGAGUGAUGAAGGUCUUCGGAUCGUAAAACUCUGUUAUUAGGGAAGAACAAAUGUGUAAGUAACUAUGCACGUCUUGACGGUACCUAAUCAGAAAGCCACGGCUAACUACGUG
rnacentral:rRNA from 1 species